rnacentral:rRNA from 1 species
GACGAACGCUGGCGGCGUGCCUAAUACAUGCAAGUAGAACGCUGAAGAGAGGAGCUUGCUCUUCUUGGAUGAGUUGCGAACGGGUGAGUAACGCGUAGGUAACCUGCCUGGUAGCGGGGGAUAACUAUUGGAAACGAUAGCUAAUACCGCAUGAUAUUAAUUGUCGCAUGAUAAUUAAUUGAAAGAUGCAAUUGCAUCACUACCAGAUGGACCUGCGUUGUAUUAGCUAGUUGGUGAGGUAACGGCUCACCAAGGCGACGAUACAUAGCCGACCUGAGAGGGUGAUCGGCCACACUGGGACUGAGACACGGCCCAGACUCCUACGGGAGGCAGCAGUAGGGAAUCUUCGGCAAUGGGGGGAACCCUGACCGAGCAACGCCGCGUGAGUGAAGAAGGUUUUCGGAUCGUAAAGCUCUGUUGUAAGAGAAGAACGGGUGUGAGAGUGGAAAGUUCACACUGUGACGGUAUCUUACCAGAAAGGGACGGCUAACUACGUGCCAGCCGCCGCGGUAA